CAUGCUAGUCGAACGAUGAAGCCCUUCGGGGUGGAUUAAGUGGCGAACGGGUGAGUAACACGUGGGCAAUCUGCCCUGCACUCUGGGACAAGCCCUGGAAACGGGGUCUAAUACCGGAUAUGACCAUCUUGGGCAUCCUUGAUGGUGUAAAGCUCCGGCGGUGCAGGAUGAGCCCGCGGCCUAUCAGCUUGUUGGUGAGGUAGUGGCUCACCAAGGCGACGACGGGUAGCCGGCCUGAGAGGGCGACCGGCCACACUGGGACUGAGACACGGCCCAGACUCCUACGGGAGGCAGCAGUGGGGAAUAUUGCACAAUGGGCGAAAGCCUGAUGCAGCGACGCCGCGUGAGGGAUGACGGCCUUCGGGUUGUAAACCUCUUUCAGCAGGGAAGAAGCGAAAGUGACGGUACCUGCAGAAGAAGCGCCGGCUAACUACGUGCCAGCAGCCGCGGUAAUACGUAGGGCGCAAGCGUUGUCCGGAAUUAUUGGGCGUAAAGAGCUCGUAGGCGGCUUGUCACGUCGGUUGUGAAAGCCCGGGGCUUAACCCCGGGUCUGCAGUCGAUACGGGCAGGCUAGAGUUCGGUAGGGGAGAUCGGAAUUCCUGGUGUAGCGGUGAAAUGCGCAGAUAUCAGGAGGAACACCGGUGGCGAAGGCGGAUCUCUGGGCCGAUACUGACGCUGAG
rnacentral:rRNA from 1 species